rnacentral:misc_RNA from 1 species
ACCUGCGGAAGGAUCAUUAUUGUUAAAUCUUUUUUUACUCGACUAUGGUGACUCUUCUCUUGGAUUAAUUAACCUGCGCUUAACUGCGCGGUUACCUUGAGAAGGUUCUAUAGGAGAUUAAAAAAAAACUUAUACACAUUGUUUUUUCUUAUCAUAAUUUUGGAGAGGGGAAAAAGAACGAAAAAAAAAAGACUGUAAGAGGGGGAGUUUAAUUACUCUUUCUUUUCUGUUUUUGUUUUUUGUUUCCUUUUUCUUUUCUUUCGAAAUUAUGGUUAAUAUUAUUAAAACCCAUUCUCAAUUUUUAUUGAGGAAUGUAUAUUUUUUAAAUACAAAUUUUGUCAUUUUAAAACUUUUAUAAGUUUAAUAACUUUUAAAACUUUCAGCAACGGAUCUCUUGGUUCUCGCAUCGAUGAAGAACGCAGCGAAUUGCGAUAAGUAAUGUGAAUUGCAGAUUUUCGUGAAUCAUCGAAUCUUUGAACGCAUAUUGCACUCUAUAGUAUUCUGUAGAGUAUGCCUGUUUGAGCGUCAUUUCUCUCUUAAACCAUUAGGUUUAGUAUUGGAAGUUGUGUUAUAUAAUAUAUAACUCUUCUGAAAUGACUUGGCAAUUAGUUGUUAAAACUUCUUUUUCUAAAGGCUUUAUUAUUAGGUUUUACCAAUUUAAUAAAUGUCCUUUUAGGAUUUUUAAGGGAAGUUUUACUAGUACUAAGGCCUUAUAACUACUCAUUAAUUUGACCUCAAAUCAGUA